rnacentral:rRNA from 1 species
CGGCGAGUGAAGCAGCAAUAGCUCAAAUUUGAAAUCUGGCGUCUUCGACGUCCGAGUUGUAAUUUGUAGAGGAUGCUUCUGAGUAACCACCGACCUAAGUUCCUUGGAACAGGACGUCAUAGAGGGUGAGAAUCCCGUAUGCGGUCGGAAAGGUGCUCUAUACGUAGCUCCUUCGACGAGUCGAGUUGUUUGGGAAUGCAGCUCUAAAUGGGAGGUAAAUUUCUUCUAAAGCUAAAUAUUGGCCAGAGACCGAUAGCGCACAAGUAGAGUGAUCGAAAGAUGAAAAGCACUUUGGAAAGAGAGUUAAAAAGCACGUGAAAUUGUUAAAAGGGAAGGGAUUGCAACCAGACUUGCUCGCGGUGUUCCGCCGGUCUUCUGACCGGUCUACUCGCCGCGUUGCAGGCCAGCAUCGUCUGGUGCCGCUGGAUAAGACUUGAGGAAUGUAGCUCCCUCGGGAGUGUUAUAGCCUCUUGUGAUGCAGCGAGCGCCGGGCGAGGUCCGCGCUAGGAUGCUGGCGUAAUGGUCGUAAUCCGCCCGUCUUGAAACACGGACCAAGGAGUCUAACAUCUAUGCGAGUGUUCGGGUGUCAAACCCCUACGCGUAAUGAAAGUGAACGGAGGUGAGAACCGCAAGGUGCAUCAUCGACCGAUCCUGAUGUCUUCGGAUGGAUUUGAGUAAGAGCAUAGCUGUUGGGACCCGAAAGAUGGUGAACUAUGCCUGAAUAGGGUGAAGCCAGAGGAAACUCUGGUGGAGGCUCGCAGCGGUUCUGACGUGCAAAUCGAUCGUCAAAUUUGGGUAUAGGGGCGAAAG